CAGGCCUGCUGCUGUCAGCACUGCUUACAGCUGAAACCAGCCUCAAAAGUGAGAGCUAAACCUCUGCAUCCACACAUUCCCCAGCAAUGCUCAGCAUCCAAACUUGCAGGUGUGAAAACAGCACCUUUCAGGCCUGAAGGCAGGAAGCACUUUGCUUUUUUUUUGGCUGCUUGUUGGAGGAAGCUGCCCAUUGUUUCUUUUAGGAGACUGUUUUUAUACAUGUCCUUCAUGCCAUGUGCCAGGCUGGAGGCAUAAACAUGGAAAAGUGAACAAUGAAGCUGAAGCUGUUGGGCAGCCCCACAUGUCUGCCCGAAUGCAGUGGAUCAGCUGGAAGAGCUGGAGCAAGGGAGGAGAAGGGCAACACAGAGUAAAGAGCUAUCAGGAGUAAAGGAAAACUUCCUUGGAAAAAGAAGGAGACAAACUUUUUCCAUGGUAGUGAAAACCCCAGCAGCCUGGUCUGUGGUAGGAAGCAGUGUGGGGAUGGCAAAGCUGCAUGCCCACAACUUAAGUCUCUCCUCUCGUAUUUCCCAUCGUGGCACAGCCAGGAGGAACCAGCAAACAGCAUGGUGAGGACCUGGAAAGGAAAAGAAAGUGUUUUUGCAGUACAAGAACUGUUUGUAACAUGGUGGAGGCUUCCAAAGUUCAAAUGAGUUUGCCUUUUAUUUCACAUCCCUGAUCCUACACCCCAGUUUGACCCUAGUUCUCCUAAAAC
rnacentral:lncRNA from 1 species